GUAACACGUAGAUAAUCUAUCCUAUACUGGGGGAUAGCCCGAUGAAAGUUGGAUUAAUACCGCAUAUAGCUAUAUAGUUGCAUGAUUAUGUAGGGAAAGAUUUAUUGGUAUAGGAGGAGUCUGCGGCACAUUAGCUAGUAGGUGAGGUAAAGGCUUACCUAGGCGACGAUGUGUAGCCGGUCUGAGAGGAUGAACGGCCACAAUGGAACUGAGACACGGUCCAUACUCCUACGGGAGGCAGCAGUGGGGAAUAUUGCACAAUGGGGGAAACCCUGAUGCAGCAACGCCGCGUGAGUGAAGAAGGUUUUCGGAUUGUAAAGCUCUGUUAGCAGGGAAGAGGAAGGACGGUACCUGCAGAGGAAGCCACGGCUAACUACGUGCCAGCAGCCGCGGUAAUACGUAGGUGGCAAGCGUUGUUCGGAAUAACUGGGCGUAAAGGAUGCGUAGGCGGUUAAACAAGUUAUAUGUUAAAUAUAUAGGCUUAACCUGUAGAAAGCAUAUAAAACUGUUUAACUAGAGUGCAGGGGAGGUAAGUGGAAUUCCUAGUGUAGCGGUGAAAUGCGUAGAGAUUAGGAAGAACACCAGUGGCGAAGGCGACUUACUGGACUGUAACUGACGCUGAGGCAUGAGAGCAUGGGGAGCAAACAGGAUUAGAUACCCUGGUAGUCCAUGCUGUAAACGAUGGGUACUA
rnacentral:rRNA from 1 species